UGACAUUGUACAUAGUUCUCCCAUAUGGAGAGCAGGCUGUUCCCUAAUCUGUUACUGGUUUUAGUCUCUGACCUUUAACAUUUCUGCAGUGCUAAUGAGCUCUCCUUCUGAAGCAUUAUCUCUCUGCUGUUUUGGUGACUGACCUUCUUGGGGGGUGGUGUUUCUUCCCCACUGGGGACACUGGAAGGUCUUUCUUUUCUCUGUCUACUGGAGAGAGUGGAAGGGUCAACCUAAGUUACAGGAUGGCCAGCUCUUAUCAACUGGAAACAGACAUAUCAUAGAUGCUGUGUUCUGCCGACAGUGUUCCACCAUGAGGCCAUGGAUACCCUGUCGCCCUCCCUGGGGACGUUGUCCUGCUGUCCCAAAUGAAGAUCUCUGCAUGACCAUGAAAGUCUUUAAGGAUUUCGAGCUGUGGCAAGUAGUCCAGACCUGUUCCAAGAUAAAUAAUCCAAAGUGCGGUGACUUCUACUUUGAUGAUAUGACUGGCAAAAUGUACACCUACAGCUGUUGUUCCAACAAACAUUACUGCAAUGACUCUCAGUAGAUGAAUAAAACCAUGU